UUAGUGGGUUUACUCACUAGUGGCGCAGCUAACGCUUUAAGCAUUCCGCCUGGGGAGUACGGUCGCAAGAUUAAAACUCAAAGGAAUUGACGGGGGCCCGCACAAGCGGUGGAGCAUGUGGUUUAAUUCGACGCAACGCGCAGAACCUUACCAGCCCUUGACAUCCCGGUCGCGGACUCCAGAGAUGGAGUUCUUCAGUUCGGCUGGACCGGAGACAGGUGCUGCAUGGCUGUCGUCAGCUCGUGUCGUGAGACGUUGGGUUAAGUCCCGCAACGAGCGCAACCCCCGUCCUUAGUUGCUACCAUUUAGUUGAGCACUCUAAGGAGACUGCCGGUGAUAAGCCGCGAGGAAGGUGGGGAUGACGUCAAGUCCUCAUGGCCCUUACGGGCUGGGCUACACACGUGCUACAAUGGCGGUGACAAUGGGAUGCUAAGGGGCGACCCUUCGCAAAUCUCAAAAAGCCGUCUCAGUUCGGAUUGGGCUCUGCAACUCGAGCCCAUGAAGUUGGAAUCGCUAGUAAUCGUGGAUCAGCACGCCACGGUGAAUACGUUCCCGGGCCUUGUACACUCCGCC
rnacentral:rRNA from 1 species